ensembl:lncRNA
AGCUUUACCAUUGUGAAUAAUCUUAUGAUGGUUUAGAGCCUUUGUGGCCAAGGAUGUGCUGUAAAGAUGAAAGCACAAUAAUUCUGAGACCUUACUUGCUACAGCUCUUUCAGCUUUCACAAUUACUCAACCACACAAGGGUAGUUACUGCAGUUAUAUAGCUGUAAUUCUGUCAGAACUUAGUCUAGAGUAGAAUGAACUAAGCUUUAGAGCGAGCACAGGUGACCUCAUCUAACACAAAGACAUCAAUUAUUUCAAUUUAUGAUAUUCUUGGAAUUGAGCACAUAAAUGUUUUAAUUUCAGUUUCCAAGCAAUACCGUUCACUGGCAGAUUUCACAAAAACUGUGGAGUAAAAAACAUAACAUUAUACUGUGCAAAAGUCUUGAGCCAAACCUCUUUUUUUUUUUUUUUUUAAUAUUUUGCUUCCAAAAAGGCUAAUUUGUUAUUUUUAAAAUAGUCCCGAGGAAUAGUUUUCCAUUUCUGGAGAAUUUAAAAGUUUCCCUUUGGAAAUUGGCUGCUUUUUCACUCAUUUUCACUCCAGUUCUCAUGCCUGACCAUUUUAAGAGAAAUGUGUUUCUAUGUUAAGCCACCUAACACUGAUGUAUGAAUCACUCCAUAAAAAAGGCACCUAAAUCAUGGGAUGAACCAGUAUUCUGUCUACAUAUAACAUAUAAAUCCCAAUUUUAAACUGUAUCUUUUAGCACUGUUUUUAAGUGUUUAUUUAGUUGAAUCUACUAAAAAUGUCAAAGGUAUCACAGUUUCAUAGGCAUAAAAUAAUAUUUUUGCACCAACAAAGUGGCAUGCUAUUGGCGCAUAUCCCGGGAUGGUGUUAAUCAAUUUACUGCUCAAUUUUAAUUAAUUAAUGUCCAUCCAUCCAUCCAUUCACUUCCGCUUAUCCUUUUCAGGGUCGCGGGGGGCGCUGGAGCCUAUCCCAGCUGUCAUAGGGCGAGAGGCGGGGUACACCCUGGACAGGUCGCCAGUCUGUCGCAGGGCUAACACACAGGGACAAACAACCAUUCGCACUCACAUUCAUUUGCACAUUCACACCUAGUGACAAUUUGGGUUAUCCAAUUAACCUAUCCCCACAAGCUGCA